rnacentral:rRNA from 1 species
CCUACGGGCGGCUGCAGUGAGGAAUAUUGGUCAAUGGGCGUGAGCCUGAACCAGCCAAGUAGCGUGAAGGAUGAAGGCCCUACGGGUUGUAAACUUCUUUUAUAAGGGAAUAAAGUGAGGGACGUGUCCCGUUUUGUAUGUACCUUAUGAAUAAGGAUCGGCUAACUCCGUGCCAGCAGCCGCGGUAAUACGGAGGAUCCGAGCGUUAUCCGGAUUUAUUGGGUUUAAAGGGUGCGUAGAGGGGUUGUUAAGUCAGUGGUGAAAGUUUGUGGCUCAACCAUAAAAUUGCAGUUGAAACUGGCAGUCUUGAGUACAUUUGAGGUAGGCGGAAUGCGUGGUGUAGCGGUGAAAUGCUUAGAUAUCACGAAGAACUCCGAUUGCGAAGGCAGCUUACUAAGC